GGUUCCUUCGUAUAUCGGUUAGUACAUGAGAUUCUGAUUCUCGAAAGGAGGGUUCGAUUCCCUCAGGAACCU